rnacentral:rRNA from 1 species
GGACUACCGGGGUAUCUAAUCCUGUUUGCUCCCCACGCUUUCGCACCUCAGCGUCAAUAUCUCCCCAGGUCUCCGCCUUCGCCACUGGUGUUCCUCCCGAUAUCUACGAAUUUCACCUCUACACCGGGAAUUCCGAGACCCUCUUGAGUAUUCAAGUCUGCCAGUUUCGAAUGCACUUCCUCGGUUAAGCCGAGGGAUUUCACACCCGACAUAGCAGACCGCCUACGUGCGCUUUACGCCCAAUGAUUCCGAGCAACGUUUGCACCCUCCGUAUUACCGCGGCUGCUGGCAC